CACGUAGGCGGCUUGGUAAGUCAGAUGUGAAAGCCCGGGGCUUAACCCCGGAAGUGCAUUUGAUACUGUCAGGCUUGAGUAUGGGAGAGGGAAGUGGAAUUCCUGGUGUAGAGGUGAAAUUCGUAGAUAUCAGGAGGAACACCGGUGGCGAAGGCGACUUCCUGGACCAAUACUGACGCUGAGGUGCGAAGGCGUGGGUAGCAAACAGGAUUAGAUACCCUGGUAGUCC
rnacentral:rRNA from 1 species